UCCGACCUCCAGGUGACAAAGCAAGACAGGGCACAGGGGACAUACCGGAGGGCCGGCCCACACUUGGUCACUUUACUUUAAGAUCUGCACGAAGAGAGACGCGGCAUAGAUAUAGAGAAGAGCAAUGAGGACGCAGCACCGCCUGCAGCAGCAGCUGCAGGGCCUUGCUGUUCUCGUGGUGGAAGUCGACCAGGCUGUAGUAGGCCCACUGGGCCACGGAGACCAGGGCCAGGCCGGCCUCCCCGCGCAGGUGCCGCAGCAGCCGCAGGAGGCAGCGGCGGGCUCCGCGGAGCAGGGCGGCGAGCAGCUGGAGGCUCCAGGCCCGCGCCGUGGUCAGCGGCUGCCACAGGGCCCGCUGGAGCCGGGCCGGGGGCCCUCAUGUCCGGAACGCUCUGCGCCCAGGCUCCCGUCCCGGGGGCAUAGGGCGGUAUUCAUGCCACAAGCCCAUAGCAACUGGCCCUCUGCGCCCAGUGCCCUGCCAUCUGGGCCAGGUGCUUUUGCAACAAUCGCUGACAGCACAAACGAUGAGGCUGUGAGGCUUUGUUGCUUAAGGGGGCAGGCUGGGCUUGGACAGGGUGCCAGGAGCUCCCGCGGCACCCCGCAAUUCAGCAGGAAGUGGUCUCCCCACCCCCGAGCCCCGUGGGAUCCCGCCCUGCGCCCGGGCUCCCCGUCUUUCAACACAACCUCAAGUUCAGGGCACCUGAAGGAAGUGACAAGGCCUCCACUGAUUUCUGCGUAUUCCCUGUCUGAAGAAAGAACAGGUGCACGUAAAUGGACCCUCAAGCAUUGGAGGAUGUCAGAAAUGGAAUUUUCAAAUCAGACAGUCAUUUUAGUCUUCCUAAUAAAGCUGAUUUCCUUUAAAAAAUAA
rnacentral:lncRNA from 1 species